CUUGUAACACAAACAAGCAUUGUCACUAAAGUGACAUAAUCCCCCGCCGCAAAUUAUCAAAUCAAACUUAAAAAGUAAUGAAAGUUGAAGAUGAAGUUAAAUGUCAA
rnacentral:lncRNA from 1 species